rnacentral:rRNA from 1 species
AUUGAACGCUAGCGGGAUGCCUUACACAUGCAAGUCGAACGGCAGCACGGACUUCGGUCUGGUGGCGAGUGGCGAACGGGUGAGUAAUGUAUCGGAACGUGCCCAGUAGCGGGGGAUAACUACGCGAAAGCGUAGCUAAUACCGCAUACGCCCUACGGGGGAAAGCAGGGGAUCGCAAGACCUUGCACUAUUGGAGCGGCCGAUAUCGGAUUAGCUAGUUGGUGGGGUAACGGCUCACCAAGGCGACGAUCCGUAGCUGGUUUGAGAGGACGACCAGCCACACUGGGAAUGAGACACGGCCCAGACUCCUACGGGAGGCAGCAGUGGGGAAUUUUGGACAAUGGGGGAAACCCUGAUCCAGCCAUCCCGCGUGUGCGAUGAAGGCCUUCGGGUUGUAAAGCACUUUUGGCAGGAAAGAAACGUCGCGGGUUAAUACCUCGCGAAACUGACGGUACCUGCAGAAUAAGCACCGGCUAACUACGUG